rnacentral:lncRNA from 1 species
AUGCCCUCAGAGCUGCGCUCGCUUUAUCAAUUGUCCAAGCGCUUUUUGCUUGUUUGUUUUUGCAAGCGGAAUUACUGCUCCUUGCGGAAGACCACAGACGAAGGUCGCACACGUGAUGUCAGCAUUUUUUUGUCGCGGAAAGUGACGUUGCGGACCUUAAAACUCCGGUUUUGUCUGUCCACACGCAGACACCCAAAACGGAGAAAACGCAGAUCUUCAUUUUGGCCGGAGUUUUUAAAAAGAUCCGUUUUCGUGUGGAUGACAGGCCAAAAUGUAGAAAAAUAUCUACGUUUUGGCAGAUCCCCGGCUACGUGUGGACAGGGCCUUAGUUUAGAUGAGACCAUGGUCUUCAGCUGGAAGGUCUUCUCCAGGUCAAGGAGGAGGUCCUGCCUCAAGGAGUUUCUUAGGGUCUUGAUCACAAAUGAUGGAAAGAUGGCGCGCAAGAUUAACAGGCGGAUUGGUGCUGCGUCUACAGUUUGGGAGGAGCCAUUCGAGGUGGCUCGGGGACACUUCCUGGAAGACCUCCUGGUGAGGUUUUCCAACCAGGAGUUGACCCAAAGGAAGACUCAGGACUCGCAAGGGAAGUCGCUUCCAGUUUGAACGAGAAUGACAAAAUAUAAACACACAUGAAAAGCGAUUAAAGGUGCAAAAGCAAAUCUACGAAAAACAAAAUUUUUCAGACAAACUUGAGAGAACCACUUAAUGAAUUUAUUUUACCUUAAAUAGUUCCCAAGCACAACCACUGCUGCAGCUCCCCAUUCCCCACGGGGAUGGGUCAAAUGUGGAGAUGUCAUUUCACCUGUGUGGGAUGACUAAUGGGACUUUACAGAACAAGCUAGCUGUUAAUCGCAAACAUGGUCACAGAACGCUCACCUCUCCUGCCAGGUAUCAUCCCUGGGCCGUGUCCGCCUGAUGUGGAAAACCUGUGAUGCCAGAGGAAACGAGAUAGCUAAACAUCAGUGGCCGUUUUCUAGGUCCAAACGUCUUUUGUUGUCCGUGACUUCAAAUGGUGUUUUUAUUUAUUUAUUUUUUUGGGACUCUGGUAGUUUGUCCUGAAGCUAAAGUGGUAGCAGCCAGCUGUUUCUCCUCUGAUAUUAUUGAGGAGAACCUCUCACACCAGUCGUGUUCUGUUGCUGGAGGAGGUUUGCUAUGGCGCGGUAUGGGGGCCAAAAUUAAGACUACUGCCCAGCAGCAGGAGGCUAUAUAAAUUCCGAAGCAAACUACUGACCUGAUUAACGAUAAGCUGGCGCCAGUAACUGAGAGGCUGGCGCUGCUUAUUGAGAAAUAGCACCUUUACCAGCAUUACUACUAGAUACGCUAGGGACUAGCAGCCCUCGGCUGGUCAUUAACUGGUUCACACACUUCCUCUGCUGUCUAUUAGCAUGGAUAGGCUAGCGUUAGCCUGGACGGGCUGGUGUUAGCAUUGGAGAGGCUAGCCAUUAGUGUGCCUAGGCUG